CGGCUGUGAUGAUCUCAGUCUGGUUUCGCUUGUGUCUGAUAUAUAGUGAAGACACUUCUCUUGGCUGGCUGAGCAG